rnacentral:tRNA from 1 species
UAGGUGGAAGCCUGUCGGUUUGGGCGUCUAGCUGUUAACUAGAAGUUUGUAGGAUCGAAACCUGCCCAUCUAG